rnacentral:lncRNA from 1 species
AGGUCAAAAGCAUGUUUGGGGGAUUAAGGGAAUCAGGAAAGCUUCAGAAUAAUUUAGAUGCUCCUCCUCCAUGAAAUUACAAAAACAAAAUCUCAGUGACAUAAUGAGUUCCUCUCUUCUCCGUGCCCCCAACAGCAAACUCCAAUGCACACCUCUUUUACAGCGCCGGUCACAUUUCAGUGUAGUGAUUUGUCUAUCUGACCCACCUUCUUGAAUGCCAUCUUUAUGAGGUCACAGACCUUAGUGGGGUGCAGCAGAUUUCCCUUUGCUCUAAGUGUGAAUUAGAAAAAGGACCUUCUCUGGAUGAAGGCAACUCAGAGGAAGGGGCACCUUUUCAUAAUCUGUACAAAAGUGCUAUCUGCUUGCCAUGUUCCUCUUCUGUGAAAUUUAAAAAAAAAAAAAAUCAUAGGCAAACAGUGCCUUGGGCCAGAUGCAAGGACUGGUUAUUUUAAUGUACAAGAUUCUUUUAGAGGAAGAUAAAAGCUCAGAGGAAGAUCAGGAAGAGAGAAAUGUCCAUGGUCAUUGUAGGCAGAUGAGGAGUAUGCUGGAGAAAGUAGAAAUAUUGGAGACACCUGGAAACCACAGAGUCAAGGAAAAGGCAAAGCCCAGAUUAAAGUGCUCUGCUGACCAGAAAGAAGGACAAUGUGAAAGGAAGAAAGAAAGAAAGAAAGAAAAAAAAAUUACUUACUAGACCAAGAAUCAAGAGAUCAGGUUCUAAUUCUAGCCCUGUUACCUGUCAGUGGGAUAAUCCAGUGUAAACCAUUUAGAGUCUACAACAGUUUCUUCCUUUUUAAAAUUCAGUAAUAGACUGUGUUUUCCCCGUGUAUCUUACAGGAUUGUUGUAAAGAUCAAACAAAUUAAUAAAUGAG